CAACACCGCGGUAACUCGGUCGAACACAAAAAGAAUCAGGCUUUGAAAGAGAGCAGAGCUUUUUCUCAAUCUCCUAGGUUUUGGGUCACAAAGGAACUGUCUUUCUAAUCAAAUUUCUGGUUUUCGGUGGAGCUAUCUUGUAUAAUAGAUAAAGAAUCUUGACUUGAAGGGAAAAUGCCGCAUAGAACACGGCCGAUGACUGCACUGCUGGUGUUCACUGGACUCAAUGUGAUCUUGGUAUCAACCAUUACUCCAGUCUAUGAUUUUGUUUGCUUCCUUCCUUACUGGGAAAGAAGGAGAGAACGUCGCCGUCAGGAGCGUCAAGCUGAUGCCUUAACAAAGGGUUCCAGAUGAACAGAGAUGGGUCUUUGAGGUUAGACAUUUGGUUGGUUUUGUAAUUGAUGUGUGACAUUUGAUGAUGUUCACCUAAUUUUUUCUCCCAUCAAAACAUGCGAGAAAAGAAGAAGAAAAGAUCAAGUCUUGCAUAAAACUCCUUGAUUGGAGCAUAAAGUAGCACCUAUUCAUUUUUGUAUUAGAGAGAUUUUAAUGGAGAAACGUGAUUGAGAAAUCAGCAUGAAGCCUCUGAGGUUUGAUUGGGAGAUUUAUGUUAGGCUUAGCAAUUCUAUUCUUACUCCCAUGUAGCUUUUUUCUUGCUAAAUACAUCUUGCACCAUAGCUAGGUCCACCUGAUGACAUGUUAUCUAGUUACAUGUUAAUGAAAAUGAUAGAUUUUCCUCCU